GAUUAACGCUGGCGGCGUGCCUAACACAUGCAAGUCGAGCGGGGUGAUGGUGCUUGCACUAUCACUUAGCGGCGGACGGGUGAGUAAUGCUUAGGAAUCUGCCUAUUAGUGGGGGACAACAUCUCGAAAGGGAUGCUAAUACCGCAUACGUCCUACGGGAGAAAGCAGGGGAUCACUUGUGACCUUGCGCUAAUAGAUGAGCCUAAGUCGGAUUAGCUAGUUGGUGGGGUAAAGGCCUACCAAGGCGACGAUCUGUAGCGGGUCUGAGAGGAUGAUCCGCCACACUGGGACUGAGACACGGCCCAGACUCCUACGGGAGGCAGCAGUGGGGAAUAUUGGACAAUGGGGGGAACCCUGAUCCAGCCAUGCCGCGUGUGUGAAGAAGGCCUUAUGGUUGUAAAGCACUUUAAGCGAGGAGGAGGCUCUUUUGGUUAAUACCCAAGAUGAGUGGACGUUACUCGCAGAAUAAGCACCGGCUAACUCUGUGCCAGCAGCCGCCGUAA
rnacentral:rRNA from 1 species